GGAGGAAGGCAUUGAUGCUUUCCCCAUAGACCCUACAGGCUUCUGGUUGGAGCCAUAAGGAAAUGAGAGGAAGAAUUAGCCUGUUUGUGUGACUGGGCUCCUGUAAAUAUUUUGAUACAUCUGCUGCCAGCUCCGGUCUAAGGGAAUCUACCUAGCAUUUAAAUUUUGAUGGGGAGCUGUUUUGAAUAAUAAGAGUGCAGCCGGCUGUGAGUCAGUGUGCAUGUGUGUUGACUGAAGGGAAGGGAGUGAAAGGGGGGGGGGGCUCAAAAGCUUUAACGUUUGCUGAACGGCGAGCUGCAGUGCUUCGCUUUUGCCUCCCUCCUCCUUUUUAGCUAGUAGAUAUUCCAAACAGAUUUNUGUGUGUGUGUGUGUGUACGCGCGCGCGCGCCUGUCUAUGUUCACUGGGAGGAGGGCGGAAUUAAAGAAAAAUAUAUAGCCCUUCACCCAGUAGCCGUUGCAAUGGGUGCUGUAAUGGGCACGUUUUCUUCUCUGCAAACCAAACAAAGAAGACCCUCGAGAGUUCUCUCACCAUAUUUCAUGGAUAUAUAGCACGAUGUCUUUUGGAAGCUACCUGUGUCUNUGCAUGGAAGCUGACUUCCAGGUUGCCACUCAUCAAAGUGACCUGGCUGGUGGCAAAGAACACUGGUCUGCCAAGCCAGCCAGGCUGCACCAGUG
rnacentral:lncRNA from 1 species